rnacentral:lncRNA from 1 species
UGCCGGUCCAGCCUCCCGCUUCGGUCUUUGAGAAAGCAAGAAGGAAAGAGCUGCUCUGCUCCCUCCGCUAAGUGAUGCCCCGGACCGGAGGGGAAGACCACGGUCGCCCGCGGGGCUUGGCCCUCCGUAGGAGUAAGGCCUUGGGCGGUCGCCCUCAAAGCAAGAUAAGCCGUUAGUGAGCCCCUUCGAAGUCGCCCGGGUGGGAUGGGCGGACUUUUCUUCCUGGGACCCUUGAGAGUAGGGCUGACUUAGCGCAAGGGCUUGAGUCAACACACCCAAGGAAGAUCUGUACUCAACACAUCUGCUUUACUAAACACUUCUGCUUUAUUGUGUCAACUCUGAAGUGUCAGGGCUGGGCUGGGCUGUUUAGUCGCUGAGGGCUGAAGAGUGGGGUGAAACAAAUGCACUUUUUCUAUUUAUCAGAGUACAAUUGAAAAAAUGCAUAAUAAAAGAACAAUAUCCUACUUCCUGGAGGUUUAUCGACUAGAGCUUGAUGCUGGUAAGCAACCUUACAACAGCCACCAGAUCCAGAAGUUCUGAACUGAAGAAGUGGCUUUCUAAGCCUUGAGGAGAAUGGGCACAGCAGCUUAUUAGACCUCUAAGACUGAUGGAAGAAUUCCAGGUUUCAGGAAUUCACACUCACUCCCUUAUCUCUCUCUUCCUGGGAGGCAAAUUUGCUAAUAAACCACAAUUCAGUUGCUUCAGUUUCAAAACAAUUCCUUUCCCAGCAUCCUCGGUCUACUGCGAACCCUUCUUACCCAAAGGAGAUUCCAUGAAAGCUGCUGCUGUCCCAACAUCCAGCCUCCACCCACUUCAGUUUGUUUUGCCUAAUUGCCUUGAGAACAGAUUUCCUAAAACACUAUUUGUAAUAUGAUAUCUUCAUACUUCAGAAUUUCCAGUGAAUCCCCACCAAUCUUCAGACAAAGCCUCAACAUUCAAAAUGUCUUCAUCCAUGCAGUUAAUCCAUUCAACAGAAUCUUAUUGAACAUAAACUAUAUACCAGUCUCUAUGGUAGGUUUUUGUUGUUGGUACCAGCCUGUCCCCAGUAUUGCAUGGGUCAUGUUGUUGUUCAGUCGCCAAGUCAUGUCCAGUUCUUUGUGACCCCGUGGACUGCAGCUUGCCAGGCGUCCCUGUCCUCCACUAUCUCCCAGAGUUUGCUCAAGUUCAUGUCCAUUGAAUCGGUAAUGCUAUCUAACCAUCUCAUCCUCUGCCGCCCUCUUCUCCUUUUGCCUUGGUAAGUGCCAGACAUAAUGAUGAACAAGAUAGACGUUUUCCAUGUCUAUCUGGAGAAGGAAAUGGCAACCCACUCCAUUGUUCUUGCCUGGAGAAUCCCAGGGACGGAGGAGCCUGGUGGGCUGCCGUCUAUGGGGUCACAGAGAGUCGGACAC